AACGAACGCUGGCGGCAUGCCUAACACAUGCGAGUCGAACGAGACCUUCGGGUCUAGUGGCGCACGGGUGCGUAACGCGGGGGAACCUGCCCUUAGGUUCGGAAGAACUCCCCGAAAGGGGUGCUAAUACCGGAUAAUGUCUUCGGACCAAAGAUUUAUCGCCUUUGGAUGGGCCCGCGUUGGAUUAGCUAGUUGGUAGGGUAAAAGCCUACCAAGGCGACGAUCCAUAGCUGGUCUGAGAGGAUGAUCAGCCACACUGGGACUGAGACACGGCCCAGACUCCUACGGGAGGCAGCAGUGGGGAAUAUUGGACAAUGGGCGAAAGCCUGAUCCAGCAAUGCCGCGUGAGUGAUGAAGGCCUUAGGGUUGUAAAGCUCUUUUACCCGGGAUGAUAAUGACAGUACCGGGAGAAUAAGCUCCGGCUAACUCCGUG
rnacentral:rRNA from 1 species